rnacentral:rRNA from 1 species
GACGAACGCUGGCGGCGUGCUUAACACAUGCAAGUCGAACGGUAAGGCCCUUCGGGGUACACGAGUGGCGAACGGGUGAGUAACACGUGGGUGAUCUGCCCUGCACUUCGGGAUAAGCCUGGGAAACUGGGUCUAAUACCGGAUAGGACUCCGGACUGCAUGGUCUGGGGUGGAAAGCUUUUGCGGUGUGGGAGGGGCCCGCGGCCUAUCAGCUUGUUGGUGGGGUGAUGGCCUACCAAGGCGACGACGGGUAGCCGGCCUGGGAGGGUGACCGGCCACACUGGGACUGAGAUACGGCCCAGACUCCUACGGGAGGCAGCAGUAGGGAAUAUUGCACAAUGGGCGCAAGCCUGAUGCAGCGACGCCGCGUGAGGGAUGACGGCCUUCGGGUUGUAAACCUCUUUCAGCACCGACGAAGCGCAAGUGACGGUAGGUGCAGAAGAAGGACCGGCCAACUACGUGCCAGCCGCCGCAGUAA